UAUGAAGAACGUAGCGAAAUGCGAUACGUAAUGUGAAUUGCAGAAUUCAGUGAAUCAUCGAAUCUUUGAACGCAUAUUGCGCUCUUUGGUAUUCCGAAGAGCAUGCUUGUUUGAGUAUCAGUAAACACCUCAAAGACUUCAAUUUGUUUUGAAUGGCUUUGGACUUGAGCAAUCCCAACACCAGUCUUUACGAUCGGUGGAGGGUUGCUUGAAAUGCAGGUGCAGCUGGACAUUCUCCUGAGCUAAAAGCAUAUUUAUUUAGUCCCGUCAAACGGAUUAUUACUUUUGCUGCAGCUAACAUAAAGGGAGUUUGACCGUAUUGGCUGACUGAUGCAGGAUUUCACAAGGGUCGGCAACGAUUCUUGUAAAACUCGAUCUCAAAUCAAGUAAGACUACCCGCUGAACUUAAGCAUAUCAAUAAGCGGAGGA
rnacentral:misc_RNA from 1 species